GUUGGGUAGGGGAGCGUUCUGUAAGCCUGUGAAGGUGGCCUGUGAGGGUUGCUGGAGGUAUCAGAAGUGCGAAUGCUGACAUAAGUAACGAUAAAGCGGGUGAAAAGCCCGCUCGCCGGAAGACCAAGGGUUCCUGUCCAACGUUAAUCGGGGCAGGGUGAGUCGACCCCUAAGGCGAGGCCGAAAGGCGUAGUCGAUGGGAAACGGGUUAAUAUUCCCGUACUUGGUGUUACUGCGAAGGGGGGACGGAGAAGGCUAUGUUGGCCGGGCGACGGUUGUCCCGGUUUAAGCGUGUAGGUGUGUGUUCCAGGUAAAUCCGGUUCACUUUAACACUGAGGCGUGAYGACGAGGCACUACGGUGCUGAAGCAACAAAUGCCCUGCUUCCAGGAAAAGCCUCUAAGCAUCAGGUAACAUCAAAUCGUACCCCAAACCGACACAGGUGGUCAGGUAGAGAAUACCAAGGCGCUUGAGAGAACUCGGGUGAAGGAACUAGGCAAAAUGGUGCCGUAACUUCGGGAGAAGGCACGCUGACA
rnacentral:rRNA from 1 species